AUGAGAGGCCUCAUUUGGAACUGUUGAGGGGUGGGCAAGAAAGGGAUGGCCACCUGCCUCUCGGACAUGAUCAGUGACCAUUCCCUGGAUUUCCUGGGAUUGCAAGAGACUAUGAAGAAGAAUUUCUCCCCUAAGUGCUUGAGGAGAAUUGACCCCUUUGGAUCCUUCCAGUGGAACUGGAUCCCUUCUGUUGGGAAAUCUGGCGGCAUCUUAUGUGGUGUGAGGAGCGAUAAACUAGAAAUUAUU
rnacentral:rRNA from 1 species